GGGGGUGAGGUGAUGGGAAAUACAGAGUUAGCCUCCCCAAGUUGAGAACACCGUGGCCUCCCUGCCUCCCAUCAACCCAGGUUAGGAGGGAUCUGCUGAUAUCAAGAGGAGGAAGGAAAGAGUCUACUCUGUCUUCAGGAGGCAUCUCACUGUGUGCCAGAUUUAAUUCUCAACAACCAGAUAAGGCCAACUCCUGAAGGCUGAGCCCACUUGCCAGAUGAGGAAACUGAGUCUCUGGAUCUUCUCAUGGCCCCACCCACUUCCUCCUGCCCGGAGAAAAGAGGAACAGGGAACAGACACCCCCAUGAGUCAUCUUCGGUGAAUAUGAGAACAAAUCACCCGUGCUGAGUGCCUGCGGAAUGCCCAGCCCUGCAUGGAGGGCUUCUGGGGUGUCGGCUUAUUCAUCCCUCCUGUCCGUUGUAUGAGGGAGGUAUUAUGAUCCCUAUUUUAUGGAGCAUGUGGAGGCCCUGAGAGGUCCUGAGAGGUUAAGCAACAUGCCGAAGGUCACACAGCCAGGAAGCAGCAGAGUGUGAUUGGAACCCAGACCUGUCCAAGCCCAAAGUCCAUGCCCUACUGCUGCUCUGUAAUACACUCAUGUGCUCCCACCAGGUCUGGUUCCGUGAUCCAAGUACCACAAUCAUCCCAUUUAUCAGAAGGGUAAACUGAGGCUCUAAGAGAUGGAGUCACUUGAGUGAGAUCAUACAGCCGGAAGGGGCAAAGCCAAGGUUUGAAUCCUUGGGUUCAGUUGACUGUGGAGCCCAUUUCCUUCCAGCAAACGACACAGCUGCUUGUCUUUCCAGGCUUCUAUUUCCUCAUCUGAUGAAGGGGGGUGAGGACAAUGUCCACCUCAUGGGCUCCACGUGAGGAUCAGAGGUGGUACAUAUCAAUCACCCAGCUCAGUACCUGGCAGUUAGUAGGUGCUUUAAAAAUGAUGGCUGUGAUUAUUUGUGUAAAGGUGGCUGCA